CUAAGCCAUGCGAGUCAUUGUAGCAAUACAAGGCAGACGGCUCAGUAACGCGUAGUCAAUCUACCCUAUGGACGGGAAUAACCUCGGGAAACUGAGAAUAAUGCCCGAUAGAACAUUAUGCCUGGAAUGGUUUAUGUUUCAAAUGAUUUAUCGCCAUAGGAUGGGACUGCGGCCUAUCAGUUUGUUGGUGAGGUAAUGGCCCACCAAGACUAUUACAGGUACGGGCUCUGAGAGGAGUUGCCCGGAGAUGGGUACUGAGACACGGACCCAGGCCCUAUGGGGCGCAGCAGGCGAGAAAACUUUGCAAUGUGCGAAAGCACGACAAGGUUAAUCCGAGUGGUUUCUGCUAAAGAAACCUUUUGUCAGUCCUAGAAACACUAACGAAUAAGGGGUGGGCAAGUUCUGGUGUCAGCCGCCGCGGUAAAACCAGCACCUCAAGUGGUCAGGAUGAUUAUUGGGCCUAAAGCAUCCGUAGCUCGUUUUGUAAGUUUUCGGUUAAAUCCAUGCGCUUAACGUAUGGGCUGCCGGGAAUACUGCAUAACUAGGAAGUGGGAGAGGUAGACGGUACUCGGUAGGAAGGGGUAAAAUCCUUUGAUCUAUUGAUGACCACCUGUGGCGAAGGCGGUCUACCAGAACACGUUCGACGGUGAGGGAUGAAAGCUGGGGGAGCAAACCGGAUUAGAUACCCGGGUAGUCCCAGCUGUAAACUAUGCAAACUCAGUGAUGCAUUGGCUUGUGGCCAAUGCAGUGCUGCAGGGAAGCCGUUAAGUUUGCCGCCUGGGAAGUACGUACGCAAGUAUGAAACUUAAAGGAAUUGGCGGGGGAGCACCACAAGGGGUGAAGCCUGCGGUUCAAUUGGAGUCAACGCCAGAAAUCUUACCCGGAGAGACAGCAGAAUGAAGGUCAAGCUGAAGACUUUACCAGACAAGCUGAGAGGUGGUGCAUGGCCAA
rnacentral:rRNA from 1 species